GAACCUUUGUGUCUAGCUAAGGGAUCAUAAACGCACCAAUGGGCGCCCUGUCAAUGAGACCACUCGGCUCUACCAGUCAGCAGGACGUGGGUGGGGCCAGAUAAGAAUAAAAGCAGGCUGCCAGAGCCGGCAGUGGCAACCAGCCCGGGUCCCUUUCCACACUGUGGAAUCUUUGUUCUUUCACUCUUUGCAGUAUAUCUUGCUACUGCUCACUCUUUGGGUCCACACUGCUUUUAUGAGCUGUAACACUCACCGCGAAGGUCUGCAGCUUCACUCCUGAGCUAGCGAGACCACGAACCCACCGGGAGGAACGAACAACUCCAGACGCGCUGCGUUAAGAGCUGUAACACUCACCGCGAAGGUCUGCAGCUUCACUCCUGAGCCAGCGAGACCACGAACCCACCAGAAGGAAGAAACUCGUAAACCCAUCCGAACAUCAGAAGGAACAAACUCCAGAUGCGCUACCUUGAGAGCUGUAACACUUACCGCCAGGGUCCGCGGCUUCAUUCUUGAAGUCAGUGAGACCAAGAACCCACCAAUUCCGGACACACUGGGAGUGUAGUCUCUAUGUCUCAAGAAUUUAGCAAGAUAUUGAUAAAAUUUGGAGGAGGAAGACAUCACAGGGAUAGCGGAAAGGUUUUCAGGAUAAGACCACGGUGUGGAGCGUCAAGGUGUUUUGCCUGGCGCUCUGUAACUGCAUGCUACUUCUCUUUUGUGUGGAGCCACCAUUGCUUCCCUCUGACGUGAUCUGUGUUCAAUCCAGAAAACUACUGUCUUCUGUCAAGAUCAUAAACUGGCCGGGCGCGGUGGCUCACGCCUGUAAUCCCAGCACUUUCGGAGGCCGAGGCGGGCGGAUCACAAGGUCAGGAGAUUGAGACCAUCUUGGCUAAAACGGUGAAACCCAGUCUCUACUAAAAAUACAAAAAAUUAGCCGGGCACGGUGGCAGGAGCCUGCAGUUCCAACUACUCAGGAGGCUGAGGCAGGAGAAUGGCGUGAACCCGGGAGGCGGAGCUUGCAGUGAGCCGAGAUAGCGCCACUGCAGUCCGCCUGGGAGAAAGAGCGAGACUCCGUCUCAAAAAAAAAAAAAAAAAAAAAAGAUCAUAAACUCAGCUGAUCUGUUUGUCUAGCUCCUCUGUUACCUCUCUUUUGCCAUGAAUAUUUUAUUUACAAGAUUCCAUCAGCAGAAUGGAUGCUUUGUUUUCUUUUAUAGGCUAGAUCAAGCUCACAUAGAUAUCUUACAUUCUGGGAGGUGUCAAGAUUACCAAGACACUUAAACACAGGCAUUGAAUGGAACAACACUCAACUUACACGGAGAAGAGGAGACAGCAAAAUCAGCUUCAAUAGUCAUAAUGCCGCGAAUUAUAACUGAUAGAAUAACUGGAUGAAGCUUUUGGAGCCUUUGAGAGGAAGAUGAGUGAAAUAGCAGUAGAGGAAAAUGAAUGCUCUCCACUGUGAUGCUGCUACUCUGGGGAUCAAACAUUGAGAAGCACUUAUUGGCCUAUUGAAUAUUUGUAAGUGCUCUUCUUUGACACUGUUGAAAAUGUUCUCCUUAAAACAUUUCAUUAUUUGGCUCCUUUGAUAACACAUACAUCAUUUUCUUUCUACCCUGUCUGUUCCUUUUCAACUUUGUUUUAAAAUCUUACCCUUCUUUACUAGUCUUUACAUUUUUAAAGUUUCUUCCACUAGCAGAGUUUAUCUCUUUUACCUCCAUACUGUCCUUGCAAGAGUCCCCAGUUAUUCACAACCCUGCACUAGCUUCUGUUAUCAACUACAUGAAUACAUUCCAAAUUUAUAUUCCCAAUCCAGGACUCAACUCUGAUACACAAAGUUACGCAAUUUCCUAUUGCCAUAUCUACAUGCCAUGCAUGGUACCUCAAAAUGUUUAAGAAUGAAUUCAUGAUCUUCACUUUCUAAAAUGUGUUCUUUCUAUUUUUCCUGAGCUUCAAAAACAAAUGAACAAACAAACACAACUGUCACACCAGCUGUUCAUGCAGGAAUACUUUUAUUCCUUAUCUUUUCCAAAUUCAAGCUAUCGCCAAAGGCUAUUGGUUUUACCUCUUAAAUAUUUUAGAGAUUCCCACAAUUUUAUGAUCUUGACUUUUAGUCAAAGUACACCUAUAUUUUUCCCUAGAUAAUUACAACAGAGUUCUACUUGAUCUUGUUUUGCCCACUCUAACCCCUUUCAAACACUCCCUUUUAUAGAUUGUAUUUGCUUGAUUUUUUAAAAACAGAAAUAUGAACUCAACCUAACCUGUUUAAUAACUUUUAGUUCUUCAUAGAUGAAGCACUAGAACUUAAUUUUACAUUAUUAGAAUAAAACCUGUAACAUGGGCUACAGAGCCCUCCAUGGUAUGACUCCUGCAUCCUCACUAAUCAUGCCAUAAUUUUCCUUGCUGUGGCCAAGCUCACCUUACUUUAUUUUCUUAAAUAUAUAUGGUCUCCCAACCACAGAGCCCUUACAGAUUUGAUUCCUUCUUUCUAGGAAACCAUCCACCAUAAAUGUGCUUAAUCUGAACUGUGAAGUCUCAUGUGGCACAAAUGACUUCCCCAACAUUGUGGUAAGAGGGUGACUUUAGCUUGGCUUCCACCUAACUAGCUUGUGCCACUAAAGACAACCCCAACCCCCAUGCAGAGUCUUUGCUCAGGAAAGAGCAAUGCUGCUGAACCACAAAAUGUAUUUUGUCUCAAUCCAUUUUCUGUAACUUUCCACUUACUCCCCUUCUGUAAUUUUCUAUUUCCUCCUCACUCUGCCCCAUUUGCUUCCCCCAUAGUUCCCUAGUUCUUUUUGUUCCCUCUUUUACUUUCCCACAGAUCUUUUCUGUUUUCUCUCUGUUCUCCCUUUAAAAACCUAGUUACUUUUGUCUCAGUGGGAGUUGAGCUCAGUUUGUACUAGAAUCUCUCCAUCACUGCAGUACUCAAAAUAAAACCUGUCUUUCUGUCUUUUACAAGUGUCCAGUGCUGUUUCACUCUGACAUUAAUUAGCACCUACUAAACCUUUAUAUUUUGGAUAAAAUAACAUAUUCUCAGGGAAUCCUGCCUUAACUGCCCCGACACCACCAACAACCGCGUAAGUCCAGCUACUUUGAAAUCUGCUUUGUUAAAAGGCACUUUCAAAAAAGUUAAAUUCACAAACCUUAUGCAGACAUGAGAUGAGCACAUGUCAAAAAAGCAGAGACUUUUGUAGCUCGACUUUACUAAAAUCAAUUUGCAAAUGGCUGGCUGCAAACUUGGCUUUUUCAUCAGGGUCGGGAGCUGGAGCAGAGGCAUGGGGAGAAAAGAAUAAUUUCUCCACUGCACAGAAUUUAUUUGCAUAUCUAUAGACCAGAAUUAUAGUCUUUGCUAUCAGUCAUCUCCAAUUUACGGAAUCGUAAAAUAGCUCAAAGGCAAUGAAAGCCCAGAGCCCUCACAGAAACAGAAUCAGACAACUAAGAAUGUGCUUUAAACAAUACAUAGUUUCGAAUUGGAGCACAAAUUUUCCCUAUAGCUUUUAUAUUCCAAUUUUUAAAACUAUUUUUUAGAAUGAAUAUUUGAUUAUUGUGUGUGUUUAGUUCUUAGUCAUCAUUAAUCUUUGCAAAAACAGGAAACAAAUCUGCUUACCACUUCAUCUCUAGCAUCAGGUGAAUGUAAUGUCUUAAAUAUGGUAAGUGCUCAAUAAAUAUCGUUUAAAUUAAUGAGAAAGAAAAAAGACCACAAUUUUUUAUCUGAGGAAUGUGAGCUGCUUUAAAUUGUCAGGCCCAGAAAGGCAUUUAAAAUGUAACAGCAGUCAUGUCUCACUCCCCUUUGAGCUAAAUAAUUACCUCUUGAAGGCACUUGCUAUCCAGGCUCUCUAGACAAACUAGUAUCAAGAAGCCAUAAAAUGCCGUACACCAUAGAGUUCAGCAAUGUAUAGUCAAUCACUAGCCAAUGUUAUUUUUGUAAACCAGCGGAUAUUCCUGAAAAACAACUUUUGCUUUUGUAAUCGCCCCUCCUGAUUCUUUUUUUUUUUUUUUUACUUAAAAACUCUAUCUUCUUCCUUUUUCUUUGGAACAUUCUCCAAGGCAACCAGGCUGCAGUCCUCAACCUUGGCCCAAAUAAACUCUUUAUAUUAAUUUUGCUUCAGCUUCUUCCUUUUAGGUUGACAUGAACAAUAACCUUAAUCACAGCUGAUGUUAGUGAAUAUCACUGUAUCACUUGUGGCUAUAUAAUUUUAUAGAAUCUAUACAAGCAGAAAAU
rnacentral:lncRNA from 1 species